rnacentral:rRNA from 1 species
GUAGGUGGUAAGCGUUGUCCGGAAUUAUUGGGCGUAAAGCGCGCGCAGGCGGUUCUUUAAGUCUGAUGUGAAAGCCCACGGCUCAACCGUGGAGGGUCAUUGGAAACUGGAGAACUUGAGUACAGAAGAGGAAAGCGGAAUUCCACGUGUAGCGGUGAAAUGCGUAGAGAUGUGGAGGAACACCAGUGGCGAAGGCGGCUUUCUGGUCUGUAACUGACGCUGAGGCGCGAAAGCGUGGGGAGCAAACAGGGAUUAGAUACCCUGGUAGUCCACGCCGUAAACGAUGAGUGCUAAGUGUUAGGGGGGUUUCCGCCCCCUUAGUGCUGCAGCUAACGCAUUAAGCACUCCGCCUGGGGAGUACGGCCGCAAGGCUG